UACGUAGGGUGCGAGCGUUGUCCGGAUUUAUUGGGCGUAAAGAGCUCGUAGGCGGUUUGUCGCGUCGGCCGUGAAAUCUCCACGCUUAACGUGGAGCGUGCGGUCGAUACGGGCAGACUUGAGUUCGGUAGGGGAGACUGGAAUUCCUGGUGUAGCGGUGAAAUGCGCAGAUAUCAGGAGGAACACCGGUGGCGAAGGCGGCGACCUGGGUAGAUACUGACGCUGAGGUGCGAAAGCGUGGGGAGCAAACAGG
rnacentral:rRNA from 1 species